UUACUGGUGCUUACUGGUUCUUACUGGGAGGCACUGGUGCUGACUGGUGUUUACUGGUUCUUACUGGGAGACACUGGGGCAGACUUGGGGGGGACACUGGGAUCAAUGGGGGCAGACUGGGGUUCCCAGUGGGGUUCCUGGUGCAGACUGGGUGUUACUGGUGCUUACUGGUUCUUACUGGUUCUUACUGGGAGGUACUGGUUCUUACUGGGAGGCACUGGGACAGACUUGGGGGGGCGCACUGGGGCAGACUUGGGGGGGACACUGGGAUCAAUGGGGGCAGACUGGGGUUCCCAGUGGGGUUCCUGGUGGUGACAGGGGUGACUGGUCCUUACUGGUGCUUACUGGUUCUUACUGGGAGGUGCUGGUUUCCGCGCAGGCGCUGAGCCCCGGCCUGAGCUCGGCGGAGCUGGCUCGGAUCCUGCGGGAGCUGCUGGAGUUGUACUGCACCGACCGCGCCACUGGGGGCGCUGUGCUGCGCCCGCCCAGCCCCAGUGCGCAGCCGCGGCGCCGUCACGUGAUCCCUUCCCACCAAUAAAAGAGCGGGAGGGCGGGCCACGUGCUGACUGGGAGGCACUGGCACUGGUGCAGA